rnacentral:snRNA from 1 species
AUACUUACCUGGGAGGGCAGAUACCAUGAUCACGAAGGUGGUUUUCCCAGGCAGGGUUGCACUUCGGUUGUGUUGACCCCUGAAAUUUCCCCAAAUGCGGGAAACUCCACUGCAUAAUUUGUGGUAGUGGGGGACUGCAUUUGCACUCUCCCU